UUUUAGUUAUAUAGGAGAGAAGGUUAACACUCCCCUUGACAAGGAUGGAAGAGUCUUCGGCCUGCAAUACACAUACAGUUAAGGCAUUGCCACCUGCUUCUUUUUAAUUUUUAUU
rfam:Erinaceus europaeus unplaced genomic scaffold scaffold00442, whole genome shotgun sequence